rnacentral:tRNA from 1 species
GGUAAGAUGGCCGAGGGUCAGGCGGUGGGUUGUAGCCCCAAAUACAGAGGUUUAAGUCCUCUUCUUACCA